rnacentral:snRNA from 1 species
AUACUCUAGUUUCUCUUCAGAUCACAUAAAUCUUUCACCUUUUACUAAAGAUUUCCAUAGAGGGGAACACCAAUUGGGGUUGGACUAGAUGACAUUUAACAGUCUUUUCUAACCCCAAAUAU